UCAACAGAUGAGGCAUCAGCACACAAGGGGCAACAAGCCUACACACCUACACCUACAUAAUAAGCUGUUUUAAAUUUAAAAUGCUCAAUGCCUUAUCGCGCUGAUGUGACCGAGCCUGACCAGAACCCCAACAUCAUUUCAAAAUAUCUGUCCGAACCUGUCAGGUCCCGU